rnacentral:rRNA from 1 species
AGUGAACGCUGGCGGUAGGCCUAACACAUGCAAGUCGAACGGCAGCACAGUAAGAGCUUGCUCUUACGGGUGGCGAGUGGCGGACGGGUGAGGAAUACAUCGGAAUCUACUUUUUCGUGGGGGAUAACGUAGGGAAACUUACGCUAAUACCGCAUACGACCUACGGGUGAAAGCAGGGGAUCUUCGGACCUUUCGCGAUUGAAUGAGCCGAUGUCGGAUUAGCUAGUUGGCGGGGUAAAGGCCCGCCAAGGCGACGAUCCGUAGCUGGUCUGAGAGGAUGAUCAGCCACACUGGAACUGAGACACGGUCCAGACUCCUACGGGAGGCAGCAGUGGGGAAUAUUGGACAAUGGGCGAAAGCCUGAUCCAGCCAUACCGCGUGAGUGAAGAAGGCCUUCGGGUUGUAAAGCCCUUUUGUUGGGAAAGAAAAGCAGCAGGUUAAUACCCCGCUGUUCUGACGGUACCCAAAGAAUAAGCACCGGCUAACUUCGUG